UACAGAGGAGCCAAGCGUUGUCCGGAUUGACUGGGCGUAAAGCGCACGCAGGCGGUUGCGCGCGUGGGGUGUGAAAUCUGGCCGCUUAACGGCCAGGCGCCAUCCCAUACGGCGCGACUGGAGUGAUGCAGAGGUCGAUGGAAUUGCCGGUGUAGUGGUGAAAUGCGUAGAGAUCGGCAGGAACACCCAGGGGGAAACCAGUCGACUGGGCAUCUACUGAUGCUGAGGUGCGAGAGCGUGGGGAGCGAACCGG
rnacentral:rRNA from 1 species